UACGUAGGGUGCAAGCAUUAAUCGGAUUUAUUGGGCGUAAAGGGCGCGUAGGCGGCCCUUCAAGUCAGGUGUGAAAUUCCGGGGCUCAACCCCGGAGCGGCACUUGAAACUAGAGGACUAGAGGCUAGGCGGAGAAAACGGAAUUCCACAAGUAGCGGUGAAAUGCGUAGAUAUGUGGAAGAACACCAGUGGCGAAGGCGGUUUUCUAGCUUAGACCUGACGCUGAGGCGCGAAAGCAAGGGGAUCAAACAGG
rnacentral:rRNA from 1 species